AGAUCCUGGCUCUUCUACCAUCAUCAUGUGGUUUAGACUAUUUUUCGGAGUUCUCGUUAUUCUAUUCUUGGUCUGGCUGCUUCACUUUACAAAUUCAAAGGAAGUAUGUUUUAAGCUCAAACAUCCUGCAGCAGUCGACCAGGAUGAGAGUCAGCAGCAUCCCCACUCCUCACCUGCUGCUGGUGAGGUUUC